GCGGCUGUGGUCUAGCGGUUAGGACAUUGGCCUUCCAAGCCAAUUGCACGGGUUCAAAUCCCGUCAGCCGCA
rnacentral:tRNA from 1 species